CUACGGGCCGCUGCAGUGAGGAAUAUUGCACAAUGGGGGGAACCCUGAUGCAGCAACGCCGCGUGAAGGAUGACGCAUUUCGGUGCGUAAACUCCUUUUAUAUGUCAAGAAAAUGACGGUAGCAUAUGAAUAAGCACCGGCUAACUCCGUGCCAGCAGCCGCGGUAAUACGGAGGGUGCAAGCGUUACUCGGAAUCACUGGGCGUAAAGGACGCGUAGGCGGGUUGGAAAGUCAGGUGUGAAAUCCUACAGCUUAACUGUAGAACUGCACUUGAAACUUCUAAUCUAGAGUAUGGGAGGGGGAGAUGGAAUUAGUGGUGUAGGGGUAAUAUCCGUAGAUAUCACUAGGAAUACCUAAAGCGAAGGCGAUCUCCUGGAACAUUACUGACGCUAAGGCGUGAAAGCGUGGGGAGCAAACAGGAUUAGAUACCCGAGUAGUC
rnacentral:rRNA from 1 species